AUGAACGAAUUUGCUGGAAAGNCUGAUGUAUCAGAGAGGAUCAGAUCAGAUGAAGCUAGAAGAGGAAACAUCAUACUUCAGUUUCAUUUAGAAUUAUUAGAAAUACAAAUGGAGUGUAGAAAUGACAGGACGGAGAGAAAUGAAACACAAACUACUGGAUCUCAAGAGAAAAGCAGACAGAGACUUGUUAGAUGGGACAGUAUGAAGACAAUAAAACCAAAAUUCUGAGAUGAUCCAGACGGGCCUGUAAAGAUUCUUUCAGAUUUUAUCAAGAACACAACACACCAGCAGCUGAAGACUGAGCAUCAUCAUCAUCAUCAUCAUCACUCAGUUCAGCUCCUGGACUCUUUCAGUGUUUACAGACUCAUCUGAUCACAAACAAACAGACUAAUGAUCUGUGUCCCGGCUGGACUCUCAUUCCCUUCCAUCAGUAACUCUGUUGAAUGAAAGGAAAGAUCUCUCCGCUUCUCCAGAUUUACAGCAAAUUAAGAAAAUUAUUUCUGUUCUUAGAGACUCUUUCUGGAUUCAUCUGUCAGCUGAUGAUGAUGUUUUAUAUCUAGCAAAUCUUCAUAAUCUAAGAAUUUGUGUAAAAUCAUGGACAUCACCUGUUCAGAGAAUAUCUGAUUUCAGACGCAGUCAGAUUGUUUCUAGAGUUUCAGAUCUCAGUCUAAAGGAUUAAAUGAAGAGUGUGUAAAUGUGUGUGUGAUGAAACACACCUGAUUCACAUCAGCAGCUCAUCAAUGACUUUAACAGAAACAUCCUGCUCUUUACACUAUAGAUCUCCUGCUUAAACACACAACACUCCAUUACAGCACAAGAUGAGGAGAGUGUGUCUGCUGUAAAUACUGACAUUUCAUACUAAAUGAAAAAUUACCAUUAUUAUUAUUAUUAUUAUUAUUAUUAUUAUUAUUAUGAGUUGAUAACUGAAAUCCUUGACAUGAUCUAUGCUUUCGUGUCUCAUUAUUGACUCUAGGCAAACAGGACAUGCUGUUACUAAAUCCAGCUUCUUCUUCUCAAAAAAUAAGAACUAAAUCAAUAUUUACAGCAGAUAACUUAUAACUUCAUGAGUUCUAGUCAUAAUACACAGUAAACAUACACACACACACACACACACACACACACACACACACACACACCACACAACCACUAAACAUGAAGAACUGUUAUUAAAAUAAUAUGUACAUUACUACAUACUUUGUUCUCUAGAUUUUCAAACUCAUUGUCCUUA
ensembl:lncRNA